rnacentral:rRNA from 1 species
CGGGCUUGUACACACCGCCCGUCACACCACGAAAGUCGGCAAUACCCGAAGCCGGUGAGCUAACCCUCGGGAGGCAGCCGUCGAAGGUAGGGUUGAUGAUUGGGUG